AGAGUUUGAUCAUGGCUCAGGACGAACGCUGGCGGCGUGCUUAACACAUGCAAGUCGAACGGAAGGGCCCUUCGGGGUACUCGAGUGGCGAACGGGUGAGUAACACGUGGGUGAUCUGCCCUGCACUUUGGGAUAAGCCUGGGAAACUGGGUCUAAUACCGAAUAGGACCACGCGCUUCAUGGUGUGUGGUGGAAAGCUUUUGCGGUGUGGGAUGGGCCCGCGGCCUAUCAGCUUGUUGGUGGGGUGAUGGCCUACCAAGGCGACGACGGGUAGCCGGCCUGAGAGGGUGUCCGGCCACACUGGGACUGAGAUACGGCCCAGACUCCUACGGGAGGCAGCAGUGGGGAAUAUUGCACAAUGGGCGAAAGCCUGAUGCAGCGACGCCGCGUGGGGGAUGACGGCCUUCGGGUUGUAAACCUCUUUCACCAUCGACGAAGGUCCGGGUUUUCUCGGGCUGACGGUAGGUGGAGAAGAAGCACCGGCCAACUACGUGCCAGCAGCCGCGGUAAUACGUAGGGUGCGAGCGUUGUCCGGAAUUACUGGGCGUAAAGAGCUCGUAGGUGGUUUGUCGCGUUGUUCGUGAAAUCUCACGGCUUAACUGUGAGCGUGCGGGCGAUACGGGCAGACUUGAGUACUGCAGGGGAGACUGGAAUUCCUGGUGUAGCGGUGGAAUGCGCAGAUAUCAGGAGGAACACCGGUGGCGAAGGCGGGUCUCUGGGCAGUAACUGACGCUGAGGAGCGAAAGCGUGGGGAGCGAACAGGAUUAGAUACCCUGGUAGUCC
rnacentral:rRNA from 1 species